AGAACGAACGCUGGCGGCAUGCCUAAUACAUGCAAGUCGAACGAGAUCUUCGGAUCUAGUGGCGCACGGGUGCGUAACGCGUGGGAAUCUACCCUUGGGUUCGGAAUAACAGUUGGAAACGACUGCUAAUACCGGAUGAUGACGAAAGUCCAAAGAUUUAUCGCCCAGGGAUGAGCCCGCGUGGGAUUAGCUAGUUGGUGAGGUAAAGGCUCACCAAGGCUACGAUCCUUAGCUGGUCUGAGAGGAUGAUCAGCCACACUGGGACUGAGACACGGCCCAGACUCCGUACGGGAGGCAGCAGUAGGGAAUAUUGGACAAGUGGGGGCAACCUGAUCCAGCAAUGCCGCGUGACGUGAUGAAGGUCCUUAGGGUUGUAAAGCUUACCGUUUUUACCCGAGUACUAGGAACUUAAUGAACAGUAGU
rnacentral:rRNA from 1 species